UCUGGAUCCUAAGGUGACAGAUGGGUGAAAGAAGAAUGGAGUUGGAUAGAAAAUCGAAAAGGAAAGCAAAAAAGAAAAUUAUGGUGUGUUAAAUGGAUUGCCAAGAGACUUUGAAAUUUUUUAGUUAAGAAAACCAGUGUAUACAUCACAGGAUAGGGGUCUGCCCAUUUUCAACCAAAUUUGACUCCAACUCUGUAGUGUGCCAGCUCUAUCCUGAGGCUUGUUUACCCUCCUUUAAGGUGGCUUCUUUAAGUGAUGCACUAAAGUAUAGUUGUGGGUCAUCUUGAGGGCAGGUUCUGGAAAAGUGAGUCUCUGCCAUUCGUUCACAUUGUUCAUAACGAUCUGAGAUCUUGCAUUCUUCUGCUCUCUCCUCCAGCUACUCCCCCCACCCCCACCAAGAAAAGAUCCUUUCUGAUCGUCUAUCACUUUGACCAACUCUCCAUACACAUGCUGAUGCAGUAUCUCACAAGGACAAAGCUCUGAGGAUCAGGUGUAAGGUGUUUUCCCAAUCUGUUUUACAGACACACGCUCCCUUCUAGAUUCCAGGUGCAUGCUUUGGCUUGUGUUUUCAUCCGGUGUCCUUUAAAGAAGUGAGUAAUCGGGGGAUUGUAGAAAGAGCAACGACUUGGGAAGCAGAAAUGCCUGGAUUCAUGUUCAGGUACUACCAACCACAGGCUGUGUGACCUUAGGCCAGUUGUUUAACCUCUGAGCUUUCAAUUACAAAAUUUCAACGUCAGUUAGCAAAUUGAGAUGAUAAUGCUACUUCCUAAGAUUAUUGUGAGAAUUAAGGGAGAUACUGUUUGUGAAGAGCUUGGCAUAGAGAAAUUGCAUAAGGGUAGCUACUGUCAUAAGCACAUGUGGCAAAAUCUGCAUCCUCACGUCCUUUCACCCUGUCACAACUUCCUGUUCCCGCACUGUUGAUUUGGCUGUGAGACGCAAGGCCUUCAUGGCCCCAAGGAGACGUGUCGCAUUAAGUUCUUGUGUUUUGAUGUUUACCAGCUGAAGGCCAGGUGUGACAGACAGAGAAGGCUGAUCUGCCUCUUCCCUCUCCGUCCUCCCCGCCACCAGGUGAAACUCCUCCGAGCUGGGGAAGGGAGGAGACCUGGUGAGGAGAGAGCCGGGGUGAGUCCAUGCUGAGGGCCUCACAGAAGGAGCCCUGCUGUGCAGCCCCUUAGAUUUGGGGUUCUGCAACUUAGAACAGACUGGCACCCCAUUUCCUGCUUGGAUCCCUGAAGGAGAAGCUCCCGCCGCGCCCGCCCCAUCAUGGUAGCUGUAGAAUAAGGCAUAAGCGGUAGAAAGGGCUUAAGUAGGUGGGCUGGGGGCAGCCUCCCAGACACCCUGCUUGUCCCACCAGGGCUCAGGAAACAGCUCAAUAACCUUCCUCUGUGCUCUGAGAUGCAGCUGACUUUGAUGGGUGAAGGGCAGCAGAAGAAUAUGCCGCCCUGAAAAUACCUCUUUGGCAUAGGAUUCGUUUGAGAAACUACAGACACAGGAGAAGCUCUGAAAACAAAGGAGAAGUUACUCUUUUGCAAGAGAAAUGUGCAUUUACAAAGGAAAUUUCCACUUGUAGGGUUCUCUCCCUCUCCAUACCAGGAAGGGAAGGAAAACCCUUAAUCACAAGGGACCUAUCAACGGAGGAGGGACCUCAGCCAAGAACUCAGAAGGGUAGAGGGAAAAUUAUUUUUCCUCCCCAACAAGGGCCUCGUGACUGGGGAUGAGAGGACGCAGAGUGGCCGCAGAGUACACCGUGAGAGCAGAAACCCCACGGGAAUGCAGGUGUCCUGAUGGAUGCCAGAGGGGGGGGGAGGGGAGGAGGACAGUCAAACAGAAUGACGUUCAUCUCAGCAGGACCCACGGGGCACCCGUGACACUGGAAAACCAGAUACCUCCAACCUCCUCCUCCCUGCGUGUCAUGAUGCUUCACAAACUCCCAGGCAGGGAGUGAGCCCCAAGUUGGAUGGUUUAACUCUGAGUGGAUUGGGUUUGCCCUAAACCGAUGAGUUCUCCACUACCAAGCAGAACUGAGGUUCAAGUAACUUGACAUAUUAACAGAGUGAUAAAGACAGUUCGCGUAUCCAGUGACCCCACCCAUGUCACAGAUCUAAGCCUAAAUCAGCCUGCUUUUACCAGAAACUCCUGCCAAGGAAGCCUGACAUACACCACUCACAAUCCUCCAACUCAGCUUUAGCUAGUUUACUUUACCCUAGAAAACAGGACCUGCUAGUUUUGUAAGGAAAUCCCCACCCUCCUACCCAGUCGUGCUGUUUCCACGUGGCCUCUUCUCUCUGUAAACCUCCUUCUUGCCCAAAAUCCCUCCGGAAGUGGGUUCCACUGCUUGUGAGACGCUGUGCUCCCCAAAUCCUUGAAUAAGGGACUUCAAACUCAUUACUAACUCGUUUUCGUUUUGUCAUUAAAUGAGAAAGUUGUGAGGGUAAACAGAAUAUGCCACCCCAAAGUAGCCACUUGGACAUGUGGAUGUUUUGGCCUGAAGGCAAUGAAGACCCAGCAGUCUCUGGAAAAGCUUUUUGCCUCUCCCUUAACUGCCUAAAGGAAUUUAGAUAAAGGAAUUUAGAUAAAGGGCUUGUUGCCCUUUAUCUAAGGGCAAAAGAGCUAUUACUAGAGAGAACUUUUAUAUCAGAAAGACUUAUCUGCAAGGCAAGGCAAACAUUUGUUUACCAGCCGUUUUUUUCUUCUCCUCUUCCUGUGAUUUGUCUUCCUGCCCUUUGAAGCCCAGACCCCUACCCCCUUCUUCUUGGCUCAAGAAGGAUGGUAUGUAAGCCUCACUUAGAAGGGGCACAAAGUUGAGAGCUCUAAGUACAGAUAAGUCAAGAAAGUAGUUUCCCUAGUUCUACUGGCAUUUCCAACAACAGCAAACUGAUGGAUACGUAGAAUAACCUGCCAUGGUUCUCUAGAGCUUUAAUCUGUCAAGACAACUUUUCCAUCGUUAUCUUUUUAAAAAUUCUCAUGUCACUACUACUGGAAGGAAGAUAUUAUUGCCCCCAUUUUAGAGAAAGAGAAACUGGAGUUCCGACUGGGGAAGAGGCAGCUAGCGGGCGGAUUCCAGAGCUGGUACUACCCAAACUACACGAAACCAACCCAGUGGAGGAAGUGGGCACGUGGGAGGUGAAGCAGGGCAGGGGGGAAUUCUGAGCUGAAAUGAACUGUGACUGUAUUUAGUGAAAAACAUUUCUUAGUCAUAGUUUACCUGUAAGCUUCACAUGCUGAAAAAAAUGGGUUGCUCAAGACCUUCAAAGACAGUGCAGGUGUCAACUAGGAAUUUCCCAGAAUUUACUUGAUGUGAUUCAAAAUUAUGCUCCCGUCCAACUAAGCAAGUUGAUAUCAGUGCAGUGGUUUGAAGGGACUUUUACAUCAGGGCUUGAACACAGAGUAGAUGCCCUUAAGGCUCAUAGAUAAACUUUCCCAAUAAGCUUCCAUCGGUGACUUGAUGGCUUUCAAGAAGAAAACUGGAAAGAGAAUCCCUAACACUUCUAGUGGUUAACUUUAAGGAUGUGAAUGUAUUAUAGUGGCUCUGAGUCUAGCCUAUCUUUUUUAUGUUUUCCUUGGGUAAACCAAACCACUGUUUUGGUUCAACUAUUUCAACCUAUUAAUUCUGCUCUAUGCUUGAGGGCAUGUGAGGAGAUGAGAGAACCUAGGGGGGUAAAUCAGGUUCUAAUUUUGUCCCAUUUUGUACUUACAUGAGAAAUUCAAAUGAAAUAUAAAGGAUAUUUGAUUGCUUUGAAUAUCAGAGAGAUAUACCCAAAAAGUUCAUAUUAAAUUUCUCACAGUAAAGGUUUUUUGAAAAAAAUUUGUUUAGAAGGUACCAAGGGUACCUUCAACAGGGAUUAACUGAAACGAAAAUAGGCAAAUGGAAUCUGUCCUUAAUGGACAGACUUUUAAUAUUUAGAUCAUUUAAUUUUGUAUCAGCCUGGGUUGGGUCAAGGGUGUGAUGAUAAAUCACACCAGAGCUGAUACACACAAGACAAAUCUGAUUUGUUCGCAGUGCAAGGUCCUAAGCUCACAGCUGGGGACAGAGAGCCACGAGGAGGGUGAGCAGGAGAUGGGGAGAGCAGGGUGAGGCGUGGGUGCAGAACAAGAUUUUGGUACCCAGACUGCCCCCAUCACUUACCCCCGCAGGAGUUCAACCCGUUCUCACAGAUUUACAAAUAAUUGAAACUCUCAACAGACACCACUUGCACAUUUUAUUGCUCAGUCUCUUACGUCUGAAUUUGCAUCAGCAACAGUAGCUCUGGAAGCAAACGUUCAAAACAGAGACCCAGCAGCAUUGGCUGGAAACAGGCAACUACGAUUUCUACCUGGUGCUUUUGUCUAUUUUAUGUUCCAGUUACAAAUUGGAAACAAAAAUAUAUAUAUUUUAAAGUUUUGAGCA